UAUAUAAGAGGUUGCUGUAUUUAUUUGUUGCCAUAGACAUUAGUCACUGCACUGCCUGGGCUGAAAUAAGAACUUAUAAGGAUAAGAAUAUAAGGGGCCUAUACUUCCAUCAAUUCUAGCAGAGACAGCUGGAUACAAAGACAAAAAUGAUGGAGAAGAAAAUGAUUUUGUUUUCUGUGCUUCUGCUGCUGCUGGGAUGGACCAUGACGCUCCAGGGUGCCUCUGAGUCAGAGAACGUUGAUGAGGAUGAGGUGGAGAGUCCUGUGAAUACCUCUGUGGCUCCUGCAGACACGGCGGUCAUCAAUUUGACCAUACUAUCAAAUAUGUCCAAUAGAACCUUGUUCAAUGCAACAGAGGACUGUAAAAAAGCACCAGAAACAGGUAGCUGUAAGGCAUAUAUAAAAAUGUUCUUCUACAACAGCUCCUCAAUGACCUGUGAGACCUUCGUCUAUGGUGGAUGUAUGGGCAACCUGAACAAAUUUAAAGAUCAG